ensembl:lncRNA
AUGAUGCGCGUGCUGGCGUUCUGGACGGCGGCGUGUGUCCUCUGUGCUCGAGGGACAUGUGUCCCUCUGCUGGAUGAGAAGAGCGCUGACUGUGAUUCUGAUGAGGUAAGACCAGCGGCCGGCUGUGACCGACGCGAGACCGAUGAAGUUCUGAACGCUCAGGAGAGACACGAGGGUCUGCUGAAGGAUCUACAGGAGCUGGCCAGACACGAGAAAGAGGGAGAACAUGAACACACCCGCGACUCGUGGGAGGAGGACGAGGAGGAGGGAGCGAUGAAGGAGCAGAAUGAGCGAGACCUGGACGAGCUUCUGCAGGAGGAGAUCCAGAGGAGACCAGACCAGGAGCUGGAGAGGAAACACAGGAGAAACCAGGAGGAGGAGGAGAACGACACCAAGAGCUGGAACAAGGAGAAGGAGGAGGAGGAGCUGCAGGAGCUGAUGAGGAAGAUGAAAGAGGAGGAGGAGGAAGAGGAGAAGAAGGAGGAGGAGAAGCGGGAGAUGGAGAACGCCAGCGAUGAGGCCACACGACAGUUCGAGAGAGAGAGAGACGAGGAAGAGGAGGAGAGACGGCAUGAUGAAGAGGAAGAGGAGGAGGAUGAAGAUGAGGUGAGAGAUUCAGAUGUUCAUCACAGCAACUCCAUUAGCACUAAACAAUAUAGAAAUAAAACUAUAAAAAAUGUAUAUUAUUAUAAAACAUACAUAUUGAAUUUACAUUUGUAUAUAAAAUAAAAUUAUUAUUAUCAUUAUAUUUUUCUAAAAGAAUAGAUUAGUAAUAAAAAAUAUUAUGACAAAGCUGCUUGAUGUCA